UUCACUGAGUUGCACAGUGUAGUUAGGAUUC
rnacentral:piRNA from 1 species